rnacentral:misc_RNA from 1 species
UACUUUACAGUCAGCACUCACUCAGCAACGUGGCAAUGGCGCCGCGCAGUCACUCACUGCCUCACUGGCCUUCGUCCAGGAGCACUCGGAGGCUGUGAAGCCCCUCGGCCGAUAUGCUCGGCGCGACCCUGCUGCCCGUACUCCUGCUCGCUCGGCCCCCCUGGGCCCUGGGAGGCGCGUCCCGGUGGAACGCGACCAGCACCGCCGUCAGGUUGUCCCUGGCGCCCCGCCGCAGCGCCUCGUCCACGACCUCCCUGCAGCACAGCCGCGGGUCGUUGUGGUCCUGGAGGCGCCGCCGCGCCAAGUCACACGGCGUUCUGGCUCGAGAAGGAGUCCCACACGCCGUCGCUGCCGAUGAUCAGGAACUCGUCGUCCUUGCUCAGCGUGACC